AACGCGAAGAACCUUACCUGGGUUUGGCAUCCCCUGAACGCCAUAGAGAUAUGGAAGGCCCGAAAGGGACAGGGAGACAGGUGCUGCAUGGCUGUCGUCAGCUCGUGUCGUGAGAUGUUGGGUUAAGUCCCGCAACGAGCGCAACCCUUAUCUUUAGUUGCCAGCAUUAAGUUGGGCACUCUAAAGAGACUGCCAACGUUAAGUUGGAGGAAGGCGGGGAUGACGUCAAGUCCUCAUGGCCUUUAUAUCCAGGGCAACACACGUUCUACAAUGGCCGGUACAAAGCGCAGCGAAAUCGUGAGAUGGAGCCAACCGCAAAAAACCGGUCUAAGUUCAGAUUGGAGUCUGCAACUCGACUCCAUGAAGUUGGAAUCGCUAGUAAUCGCGGAUCAGAAUGCCGCGGUGAAUACGUUCCCGGGCCUUGUACACACCGGUAUCUC
rnacentral:rRNA from 1 species